rnacentral:rRNA from 1 species
CCUACGGGGGGCUGCAGUGGGGAAUAUUGCACAAUGGGCGGAAGCCUGAUGCAGCAACGCCGCGUGCGGGAUGACGGCCUUCGGGUUGUAAACCGCUUUCGCCUGUGACGAAGCGUGAGUGACGGUAAUGGGUAAAGAAGCACCGGCUAACUACGUGCCAGCAGCCGCGGUGAUACGUAGGGUGCGAGCGUUGUCCGGAUUUAUUGGGCGUAAAGGGCUCGUAGGUGGUUGAUCGCGUCGGAAGUGUAAUCUUGGGGCUUAACCCUGAGCGUGCUUUCGAUACGGGUUGACUUGAGGAAGGUAGGGGAGAAUGGAAUUCCUGGUGGAGCGGUGGAAUGCGCAGAUAUCAGGAGGAACACCAGUGGCGAAGGCGGUUCUCUGGGCCUUUCCUGACGCUGAGGAGCGAAAGCGUGGGGAGCGAACAGGAUUAGAUACCCCGGUAGUC